rnacentral:rRNA from 1 species
CAAUAGCGUAUAUUAAAGUUGUUGCAGUUAAAAAGCUCGUAGUUGGAUUUCUGGUGGGGCUGUCGGCCUGGCUCCGAAAGGGGUCGUGGUAUCGUUACACGCCUGGCCAUCCUCGGGGGAAGCUUUGCUGGCAUUAAGUUGUCGGCGGAGUGACGCUCGUCGUUUACUGUGAACAAAUUAGAGUGUUCAAAGCAGGCUUAGGCCGUUGAAUACAUUAGCAUGGAAUAAUGAGAUAGGACUUUGGUGGUCUAUUUUGUUGGUUUGCACGCCGAAGUAAUGAUUAAUAGGGGCGGUUGGGGGUAUUCGUAUUCAAUUGUCAGAGGUGAAAUUCUUGGAUUUAUGGAAGACGAACUACUGCGAAANCANNNACCAAGGAUGUUUUCAUNAA